rnacentral:rRNA from 1 species
AGUGAACGCUGGCGGCAGGCCUAACACAUGCAAGUCGAGCGGCAGCGCGUCCGACCACCCUCGGGUGGUCGGAUGGCGGCGAGCGGCGGACGGGUGAGGAAUGCAUCGGAAUCUGCCUCGUUGUGGGGGAUAACGUAGGGAAACUUACGCUAAUACCGCAUACGACCUACGGGUGAAAGUGGGGGACCUUCGGGCCUCACGCGAUGAGAUGGGCCGAUGCCGGAUUAGCUAGUUGGCGGGGUAAAGGCCCACCAAGGCGACGAUCCGUAGCUGGUCUGAGAGGAUGAUCAGCCACACUGGAACUGAGACACGGUCCAGACUCCUACGGGAGGCAGCAGUGGGGAAUAUUGGACAAUGGGGGCAACCCUGAUCCAGCCAUGCCGCGUGUGUGAAGAAGGCCUUCGGGUUGUAAAGCACUUUUGUUGGGGAAGAAACCGGCCGGGUUAAUACCCUGGUUGAAUGACGGUACCCAAAGAAUAAGCACCGGCUAACUUCGUGCCAGCAGC